UCUAUACAUGCAAGUCGAACGAGAAUUGGAGUUUGCUACCAGGAAAGUGGCGGACGGGUGAGUAAUACAUAGGGAAUCUGCCCUUAGCCGGGGGACAACAGUUGGAAACGACUGCUAAUACCGCAUAUGAGUAUGGUUGAGAUACUAUACUUGAAAAACUCCGGUGGCUAAGGAUGAGCCUGUGCCUGAUUAGUUAGUUGGCGGGGUAAAGGCCCACCAAGGCGACGAUCAGUAGCUGGUUUGAGAGGAUGAUCAGCCACAAUGGGACUGAGACACGGCCCAUACUCCUACGGGAGGCAGCAGUAGGGAAUUUUGCGCAAUGGGCGAAAGCCUGAACCGCAGCAACGCCGCGUGUGUGAUGAAGCCCCUAGGGGUGUAAAACACUGUCAGUGGGGACGAAAGAUGACGGUACCCACAGAGGAAGCACCGGCUAACUCCGUGCCAGCCGCCGC
rnacentral:rRNA from 1 species